UUCGAGUCGAGGAGCUUCGGCGCGAGGUCCAAUGCCGCAACGUGUCGAUUGUGUCAUUGGAGUUGAAGGUGAAGAGAUUGGAAGAGGAGAGAGAGUGGAACUUGAAGGAUGAGGUGAAAGCGGUGGAUCUGAAGAAGGAUCUCGAAGGUGACGGCCAAGAAACGUCGCCAGAGCCGGAUAAUCUCCCUGGGAAAUCUCUCUGACUAUAAAGACAAUCGCUCUUUCAACGAGUCCAAUUCCACAAGUCAAAGAGGCGACGGUCAAGGGCCGCCGGGAAAUGGCGUCGUUGCAAAGCAAGUGAGACCCGAACCGGUGGGAAAUGAACUGGAUCCCUUUGCCUUUUUUUUUUUUUAAAUAGAAUUAUUUAUUUUUUAAAAAAUAAGUUUUAUUUAUUUACUUUUUAAUAUAUUUAUAUUUUUUAUUAAUAUAAACACAUGUCGCCGUCUUAUUGA